CUUUCUGCACUUGCAUCAUCGGAGGUCGACGUAAGAGAAGCUGAACGUGUGAGGAAUCUGGCAACAGAAGGCUUUGCAAAUUUAAAGUCUUCAUAUCCUACAUUUUAGGAAGAAACCAGAUAUAUGCCCCCACACAAAAAUAGACUAGGUUGGCUUAAUUAUUGUUUUUGUUAAUGUAUUUUGUUUAGUGCUGCACUCUUUUUUCCUUCACCUGGUUUCAUUCCAUUGAAUUUUACAGGUAAGGUUUUUAAUGAGGCAGUUGUACUUGUAUCACACUAUUAUUCACUUGGGUAUUGAUUGGACUAGUCCCCUCAAGCUGUUUCUAAUCUCUCGAUGACAGGUGGUAGGAUUUGGGUGCCAACAUCGAUGGAUGUCUUUUUUACUAUCUGAUGCUUUUACACUAUUUUUUGUUAAAAGAGGAUGAUAUAUACCUGCGAAAUUUUUUUUAAAAAA
rnacentral:lncRNA from 1 species